rfam:Pyronema omphalodes CBS 100304, CBS100304, WGS project CATG01000000 data, contig: Pcon_v1_contig303
GGCAGGAUGGCCGAGUGGUUAAGGCGCUGGUUUUAGGUCACAAUCCUGAUCAAAUCACCAGUUGGAAACUUCGUGGGUUCAAAUCCCACUCCUGUCA